UACGUAGGGGGCGAGCGUUGUUCGGAUUUACUGGGCGUAAAGGGCGCGCAGGCGGCUCAUUUUGUCAGGCGUGAAAGCCCCGGGCUUAACCUGGGAACUGCGUUUGAUACGGGUGGGCUAGAGUUCGGGAGAGGAGAGUGGAAUUCCCAGUGUAGAGGUGAAAUUCGUAGAUAUUGGGAAGAACACCGGUGGCGAAGGCGGCUCUCUGGACCGAUACUGACGCUGAGGCGCGAAAGCCAGGGGAGCAAACAGG
rnacentral:rRNA from 1 species